UGUGUGUUGUGUGUGUAGGAGAGGAGGGCGCAGUUUGAUUCAAUCCAUGUCAAGUCAGAGGCUGCUGCGAGGUUUGCACAUGCAAGUAGAAUUUAGAUGGUCCUGCUUCGCUUUCAGGUGGAUUUAUCUUGCAAAUGGUAUGUGGAUCCGUUCUAGAGGCAAUGAGCCUUGCAGCCAGUUUGCAGUAUAAAAAAACCCAAUUAUGUCCACUGCUGGUUCGACGCAGCGUGUGCCGAGGAUUUCUACUGCCGAGCAUAAGAAAGUAUUUGAAAUCAAGAACUUGCAUUCAUUCAAUCAUAAUGUGUUUCCUAUCAAGCAUAAGUGUGUGCGUUUUGUUUGAUAUCUGCUUUAAUAGGAGAUUGUUCUUGUCACCCUAAAAAUGUUCCCAUUCUA